AGGGCGUGACCACCUCCUGGGCCGCAGGGCGGGGAGGGCCUUUUCUCCAGACUCCCCCACCUUUUCCUUUCCGCCUACGCUAUAAAAAGCUUCCUCGUUGCCCCCUUGCCGGCGGCUCCUGAAGGAGUAGGAGCGCUGAGCUGGGUAUUUAUAGCCCUGUGGACGACAGGGCGUGCGUCACAAAGCUCCUCCCUCCUGCUGAGAGCUCGCGGUCAGGAAAGGAGGCGGAGCCUCAGCGUCCUCAGCCAAUGGGGAGCCGCAAAGGACAAAGGCUCCAACUCCGCGGGUCAGACACGCAGGUGCCUCCUAGUGUUAUAUGCAGUCGGAUGUGUGCUUAAGAAAUAUCAAUCAGAACAAUCCUCUCACAAAACUUCUUGAAUUCAGACUGGAGUGGACACAACAGAGGGUGCUGUAUGAUGUGACCUUGCCCUACUGGGCUGAAACCCUAACAAAUAUGAAGCCCUUAUUACAACUUGUCAUUGUUUCAAACCCAAACUUGUAUGGAUUCUCCUCCACAUGACAGAGCACCUGCUACAAAAAAGGACUGUGGAAUUACUAGGGUAAACAGGACAGAAUUUAGUACAGUCAGCAAAAAACUGAGUAACAGCUUUGGGGAAGAGGGAGAAAGCUGUAAGCAAGUAAGUAUUUCCAUGUCUGUUUAUAAAUGUGUCUGCAGGAGGGAGGCGAGCAGAAGGAAGGAAGCUAACACGUGUGGAGGGUGUUCUGAGGACCAGGGGCCCCACCUGACACUCGUUCCUACUGCAUCUAAAUCUCACAACCGCUGAGGGAAGGCACCUGAACACUCAUGACAAUCAUGAGGCUUAAACCGUUUGUCCCAGGUCUUUGAGCUAGUCGGCAGAAGGGCUGGGAUUGGGGUCAAUGUGCCCAACUCUCUCCCACGCUGUAUUUUUCUUUUCAGGUAAACACCGCUGUGAGGGAGGAAAACUUAGUUUUGGAUUCCAAUGUACAGUCCGUAACACUUCACUGGGCCAGGACUGUUCGGACUGUGGUGUUCAAUCCCUUAGCACCAUCUACGAAGGCGAAGAGAGGACACACAUCCCCGUGCCAGUGACUCCUGUUCUCGAGGAGGUUAACAUCUAGUUGGAGGUAACCUCUUAGGAAUGUGAGACAGGCCCAACCCUGUCAGACAUUCACACUGGAUGUAAGCACAUAGCCACCAAGGUCCCAAAGAGGCAAAAUAAUAAUAAUUAUUUCCAAAAAUUUUUAAAAUCUUGUAUGCAGUGUGCAUGUGUGUUCGUGCACAGGACACUCAUCACACCGCCCCUUUCCCCUUUCUGGAUCAACACUUCUUUCCACGCAUCACACACACACUCAAUUUAGCCCGUUUGCACAAAACCGCAGUGCUAGCAAUUCUGCUUUGCAGGCAUCUCCUCAGUUUGCUAAAUUCCUGACCCUCAAUGGUCCCACACAAAAUACUUCUGGAUGAGCCACUGCCACCAAGCCGUCUCCGGCUGCAUGACAAUGCAAUGCCACACUGCCCUUCAGAAGACCAAAAACUACUUGUGAACACUAAUUACCGGGCAACUACUAAGUGCCUAGGAUGGUACUGGCUUGAGGUACAAAUCACAGCAAAGCUUUAAAUGCAAGUGUAGGGGAGACAAAAAGAAAAAAAAAAACCAUCUGAAUGAACAUUGUUUCUCUUAACCCUUUCAAAAAUCUGAGAUCGCCAUGUAUUCGGUUCCAUUUUCAGAUGGAGAAACGAAGGUUCCAAGAGGUGGAGUAGUUCGCUCAAGGUCAACAAGCUAGCAGCAGACUAGUAUUCACUCUGCUGUGCCUGCCUCCAGAGCGAGCUUUCCUCAGGCAGGGCACAUCCAGGCCCCGUUACAUUAAAGGCCUUGAGAUGGGGAGAUUAUCCUGGAGUAUCGGGGUGGGCCUAAAUGCAAUCACAAGUGAGGGAAGCAGAGGGGAGGAGGCGACGUAAUCACAUCAUCACAAAGGCACAGACUGGAGGCACAGCCACAAGCCCAAGAACCAUCAGAGCCCACAAAAGGCAAGAAAUGGACGGUCUUCUGGGCCUCCAGGGGGAGGGCAGCCCCGAUCACUUUGAUUUCAGCCAGUGAAACAGAGUCUGGACUUUGGACCUCCAAAGCUGUGUGAGAAUAAUGUCUGCUGUUUUAAGCCACCAAGCUUGUUACAUGGCCUUAGAAAGUGAGUACAGGGUCUUGCUUUCAAAAUUAAACUGUGAAGAAAGUACCACUGAUCCUUCCGUUUGUUAGAAGCGCUCUGACAGAACACGAGACCACUAUGGAGCUUAGCGAUACUAUUCCAAGAAUAAGCAUAACUACAAAAUUAAUUCUAGUUCCGGCCUGAGUACUCAUUAAGGAAUUGCAAUGAACAGACAUUAAAAUGGUGAAAACAGAUUUCCCCUUUUUCACCAAAAUAAUUUAAAAUAAAAAUAAUCCAAUAGGGGUUUUCAGGAUUAUAAAUUCUAAUAUUCACAACAGAGCAGAGAAAGGAGAAUUAUCCUCAAUUUGAUACUUGAUUCACAGCCUAAUUUUUUGAGGAAAUACACAUACGCUGGGCUCAAGAGAAUACAGAAAACGGGCUAGCGUGAAAUAGCCGUGAAGCCCAGAAUUGGAGGUCAAGUACCACCUAGGCUUUUGUCUGGUGAAUUACACACGGACACUGUAUCACAAAAACUGCCUGAAAGUCUCCAUUUCUUCACUGGUAAAAUGAGGAAAUAAUGUUGGCAAGCAUUAUCUGCAAAAGCAUGAGUCUUUGCCAAAUUAAAUGGAGCAUACUUGCUGCCAAACUAAAUUCAGCACAAUGUGUAAGUACUGCUUUGUUACUACAGAGACACAGCGCGUUCUUCCAGCCAUUCAGGACUUCUUUCUGGAUGGCUGUACUCCUAGGCAGUUUAUGAUACUUGCGGCGACUGUCAAAGGGCUUUGUUCCUCCAUCAUAUUCUGCGAGUGAAUGCUGCUGGUAUGGAGGAAAACUCUGGAUGUUUGCAGGAUGAUUUUGCAUAUGUCACAUUAUUAUACUCAUGGAUCCUCAUGAUUGUUUUAGCUUUUUCUCUUGGAUCUGGGGAGAUAUUCAAAUCAUUUGCAAAUAAUGACAGUGUUGUCUCUUCCUCUACAAGAGACUUAAUUGGAGAGAACCACCAGUUAAGAUGCUAUUAGCAAGCACAGCAUGCAUCGCUUUAUUCCCGUCUUUAAUGAGGAUGUUCUAACGUUGCAACAUUAAAUAUAGCUUGAGGCACGUUUUUAGUAGAUGCCAUCUUUACCAAAUAAAGAAAAGCCCUUUCUAUUUCUAA